AUUGAACGCUGGCGGCAUGCCUUACACAUGCAAGUCGAACGGCAGCAUGAUCUAGCUUGCUAGAUUGAUGGCGAGUGGCGAACGGGUGAGUAAUACAUCGGAACGUGCCCUGUAGUGGGGGAUAACUAGUCGAAAGAUUAGCUAAUACCGCAUACGACCUGAGGGUGAAAGUGGGGGACCGCAAGGCCUCAUGCUAUAGGAGCGGCCGAUGUCUGAUUAGCUAGUUGGUGAGGUAAAGGCUCACCAAGGCGACGAUCAGUAGCUGGUCUGAGGGGACGAUAAGCCACACUGGGACUGAGACGCGGCCCAGACUCCUACGGGAGGCAGCAGUGGGGAAUUUUGGACAAUGGGGGCAACCCUGAUCCAGCAAUGCCGCGUGUGUGAAGAAGGCCUUCGGGUUGUAAAGCACUUUUGUCCGGAAAGAAAUCGCACUUACUAAUAUUAGGUGUGGAUGACGGUACCGGAAGAAUAAGGACCGGCUAACUACGUGCCAGCCGCCGCGGUAAUAC
rnacentral:rRNA from 1 species